UGCUGAAUUUCCAAAGAGCACCUAUAACUAAGGCCAUGACCUUGGCCUGCUAAAACAGCAGUGCCGGUCCAUCGCUUCACAGUGACUGGGCUCUGAAGUCAUUGAACCGGGGCAUCUCUGAAGCCCCCACGGAGGGCUUCCUUAGACCGGGCUGGGCUGAGGAGGGCCGGGGAUCUGGGGAGGCGUUGCUUCUGCCCUCUCUUCUCCGGGUCCUUCUCCUCCUGGACCGCUGCGGAUCAUAAAGAACGGCGAGUCCUCAUGAGGCGGGGCUGAGCCGCGGCGCCAGCUGCCUGCGGUUUCCGCAGCUGCCUGCCUUCCCGAAGCCGCGGCUCCAGCCUGGUGCUCCCGGCUCCCGCAGCUGGGGAGAGCAGCGGACAAGCUUUGCCUUCCCGCUGCUGUUCCAGGGGUACGAUGUGGGUGGGGGGCCCAUGUGAAGACGCACCAGCAGGCGGGGCAACGUGAGCACAGAGUAAGACGGAGCCGCCUGGGACUGCCGGGGAGAGAGCACUCUGGCCAGAAGGACAGCGCUGGACAGAGCCCGAGAUGUGGAAGAGGCCACGUACAUUAGAAAAUCUAGCAGCGCUGAUAAGUGAUGGAUAUAAAGCUUGAGCAAGUCUGUCUGCAUCCCCCUCAUAAAAAUGAAGAACACUGUGUUCAGCCCCAGGCCUGGAACAUUCCUUUGAUGAGUUAAUCUCCAGCCAUCCUUCAAAUCUCAGCCCACUUGUCACUUCCUUAAAAAGAUCUCCCAUCGUCCCGCUGAACACCCUCUUCAGUACCCUCAUUGCAGUUGUGUGAGUAUUUUGUUCAGCAUUUCCUGGUGACUAUAAAUGUUUUGGCUAUUAUUAUAUUCUUAGUGCCUCACUCAUAACAAAUAAGCAUUUCCUGAAUGAAUGAAUGAAUGAAUGACCGCUGCCUGGCACUGAUGAACAGAAGUCCACAUUUUGUCUUAAUAGUGUCCCUGUGUAUUUCAGAGCCGGUUAUGACUCUUAAAUAAGCCAUGCUUUGUCUUUUAGUUCUGUUCUGGAAAAACAAAAUCCAGCCUUGAUCUUGCCUGGACAUCUCGCCUGAAAUACCAAAUGCACGUUCCAUCCAUAAGACAUUCCCUGGGCUGAUUAUUCAUUCAUCUUCAUUCCUCACCGAGCAUCAAGUUAUAUAUGCACAGUUAUUAGUAAUAAAUACC
rnacentral:lncRNA from 1 species